rnacentral:rRNA from 1 species
UAGGGAAUCUUCGGCAAUGGACGAAAGUCUGACCGAGCAACGCCGCGUGAUUGAAGAAGGUUUUCGGAUCGUAAAACUCUGUUGUUAGAGAAGAACAAUGACGUUAGUAACUGAACGUCCCCUGACGGUAUCUAACCAGAAAGCCACGGCUAACUACGUGCCAGCAGCCGCGGUAAUACGUAGGUGGCAAGCGUUGUCCGGAUUUAUUGGGCGUAAAGCGAGCGCAGGCGGUUUCUUAAGUCUGAUGUGAAAGCCCCCGGAUCAACCGGGGAGGGUCAUUGGAAACGGGGAGACUUGAGUGCAGAAGAGGAGAGUGGAAUUCCAGGUGUAGCGGUGAAAUGCGUAGAUAUAUGGAGGAACACCAGUGGCGAAGGCGGCUCUGUGGUCUGUAACUGACGCUGAGGCUCGAAAGCGUGGGGAGCAAACAGG